UUUCGGGUUAAAUGGGGGAUUCUUGAAGAGAAAAUGCUUGGUUUUCUGGUUAAAUGGGGGAUUUGCGAAGAGAAAACGCGUGACUUUCGCUUAAAUGGGGGAUUUGAGAAAACGCAUGAUUUUCUGGUUAAAUGUUGGAUUCUCGAAGAGAAAACGCGUGAUUUUCGCUUAAAUGGGGGAUUUGAGAAAACGCGUGAUUUUCGUUAAAUGUUGGAUUCUCGAAGAGAAAACGCGUGAUUUUCGCUUAAAUGGGGGAUUUGCGAAGAGAAAACGCGUGAUUUUCGCUUAAAUGGGGGAUUUCUGAAGAGAAAACGUGUGAUUUUCGCUUAAAUGGGGGAUUCUUGAAGAGAAAAUGCAUCAUUUUUGGGUUAAAUGGGGGAUUCUCGAAGAGAAAUUGCAUUUUCUUCUGGUUAAAUGGGGGGUUUUUGAAGAGAAACUGCAUGAUUUUCGUUUACAUGUGAGAUUUUUGUAGAGGAAAUGCGUGAUUUUUGGAUACGUGGGGGAUUCUUGUAGCAAAAAUGUUUGAUGUUGGGGUCAAACGGGGGAUUUUUGAAGAGCAAAAGUGUGAUUUUCGAGUUAAAUGGGGGAUUUUCAAAGAGGAAAUGCUUCGUUUCAGGUUAAAUGGGGGGUUUUCGAAGGCAAAAUGCGUGAUUUUCACUUCAAUGGGGGAUUUUCCAAGAGAAAAUGCAUGAUUUUCUUUUUAGAUGGGGGAUUUUCAUAGAGAAAAGGCAUGAUUUUUGUGUUAAGUGGGGGAUAUUUGCAAAGAAAAGGCGUGAUUUUCGGGUUAAAUAGGGGAUUUUUGAAGAGAAAAUGCGUGAUUUGGGGUUAAAU
ensembl:lncRNA